rnacentral:rRNA from 1 species
CGGACGGGUGAGUAACGCGUGAGUAACCUGCCUUACACAAGGGGGUAGCCGUUGGAAACGACGAAUAAUACCCUAUGAAACUAUCACUUCGCAUGAAGCGAUAGUCAAAGUGUUAGCGGUGUAAGAUGGACUUGCGUCUGAUUAGCUAGUUGGUGAGAAAAAGCCAACCAAGGCAACGAUCAGUAGCCGGCUUGAGAGAGUGUACGGCCACAUUGGGACUGAGACACGGCCCAG